rnacentral:rRNA from 1 species
UUAAGCGACUAAGCGUACACGGUGGAUGCCCUGGCAGUCAGAGGCGAUGAAGGACGUGCUAAUCUGCGAAAAGCGUCGGUAAGGUGAUAUGAACCGUUAUAACCGGCGAUGUCCGAAUGGGGAAACCCAGUGCAAUUCGUUGCACUAUCGUUAACUGAAUACAUAGGUUAACGAGGCGAACCGGGGGAACUGAAACAUCUAAGUACCCCGAGGAAAAGAAAUCAACCGAGAUUCCCCCAGUAGCGGCGAGCGAACGGGGAGCAGCCCAGAGUCUGAAUCAGCUUGUGUGUUAGUGGAACGGUCUGGAAAGUCCGACGGUACAGGGUGAUAGUCCCGUACACCAAAAUGCACAGGCUGUGAACUCGAAGAGUAGGGCGGGACACGUGGUAUCCUGUCUGAAUAUGGGGGGACCAUCCUCCAAGGCUAAAUACUCCUGACUGACCGAUAGUGAACCAGUACCGUGAGGGAAAGGCGAAAAGAACCCCGGCGAGGGGAGUGAAAAAGAACCUGAAACCGUGUACGUACAAGCAGUGGGAGCACCUUCGGGUGUGACUGCGUACCUUUUGUAUAAUGGGUCAGCGACUUAUAUUCUGUAGCAAGGUUAACCGUAUAGGGGAGCCGCAGGGAAACCGAGUCUUAACUGGGCGUUAAGUUGCAGGGUAUAGACCCGAAACCCGGUGAUCUAGCCAUGGGCAGGUUGAAGGUUGGGUAACACUAACUGGAGGACCGAACCGACUAAUGUUGAAAAAUUAGCGGAUGACUUGUGGCUGGGGGUGAAAGGCCAAUCAAACCGGGAGAUAGCUGGUUCUCCCCGAAAGCUAUUUAGGUAGCGCCUCGUGAACUCAUCUUCGGGGGUAGAGCACUGUUUCGGCUAGGGGGUCAUCCCGACUUACCAACCCGAUGCAAACUACGAAUACCGAAGAAUGUUAUCACGGGAGACACACGGCGGGUGCUAACGUCCGUCGUGAAGAGGGAAACAACCCAGACCGCCAGCUAAGGUCCCAAAGUCAUGGUUAAGUGGGAAACGAUGUGGGAAGGCACAGACAGCCAGGAUGUUGGCUUAGAAGCAGCCAUCAUUUAAAGAAAGCGUAAUAGCUCACUGGUCGAGUCGGCCUGCGCGGAAGAUGUAACGGGGCUAAACCAUGCACCGAAGCUGCGGCAGCGACACUAUGUGUUGUUGGGUAGGGGAGCGUUCUGUAAGCCUGCGAAGGUGNNNNNNNNNNNNNNNNNNNNNNNNNNNNNNUGCUGGAGGUAUCAGAAGUGCGAAUGCUGACAUAAGUAACGAUAAAGCGGGUGAAAAGCCCGCUCGCCGGAAGACCAAGGGUUCCUGUCCAACGUUAAUCGGGGCAGGGUGAGUCGACCCCUAAGGCGAGGCCGAAAGGCGUAGUCGAUGGGAAACAGGUUAAUAUUCCUGUACUUGGUGUUACUGCGAAGGGGGGACGGAGAAGGCUAUGUUAGCCGGGCGACGGUUGUCCCGGUUUAAGCAUGUAGGCUGGUUAUCCAGGCAAAUCCGGAUAAUCAAGGCUGAGGUGUGAUGACGAGGCACUACGGUGCUGAAGUAACAAAUGCCCUGCUUCCAGGAAAAGCCUCUAAGCAUCAGGUAACAUCAAAUCGUACCCCAAACCGACACAGGUGGUCAGGUAGAGAAUACCAAGGCGCUUGAGAGAACUCGGGUGAAGGAACUAGGCAAAAUGGUGCCGUAACUUCGGGAGAAGGCACGCUGGUGUGUAGGUGAAGCCCCUGCGGGUGGAGCUGAGACCAGUCGAAGAUACCAGCUGGCUGCAACUGUUUAUUAAAAACACAGCACUGUGCAAACACGAAAGUGGACGUAUACGGUGUGACGCCUGCCCGGUGCCGGAAGGUUAAUUGAUGGGGUUAUCCGUAAGGAGAAGCUCUUGAUCGAAGCCCCGGUAAACGGCGGCCGUAACUAUAACGGUCCUAAGGUAGCGAAAUUCCUUGUCGGGUAAGUUCCGACCUGCACGAAUGGCGUAAUGAUGGCCAGGCUGUCUCCACCCGAGACUCAGUGAAAUUGAACUCGCUGUGAAGAUGCAGUGUACCCGCGGCAAGACGGAAAGACCCCGUGAACCUUUACUAUAGCUUGACACUGAACAUUGAGCCUUGAUGUGUAGGAUAGGUGGGAGGCUUUGAAGCGUGGACGCCAGUCUGCGUGGAGCCAACCUUGAAAUACCACCCUUUAAUGUUUGAUGUUCUAACGUUGGCCCCUGACCGGGGUUGCGGACAGUGUCUGGUGGGUAGUUUGACUGGGGCGGUCUCCUCCCAAAGCGUAACGGAGGAGCACGAAGGUUAGCUAAUCCUGGUCGGACAUCAGGAGGUUAGUGCAAUGGCAUAAGCUAGCUUGACUGCGAGCGUGACGGCGCGAGCAGGUGCGAAAGCAGGUCAUAGUGAUCCGGUGGUUCUGAAUGGAAGGGCCAUCGCUCAACGGAUAAAAGGUACUCCGGGGAUAACAGGCUGAUACCGCCCAAGAGUUCAUAUCGACGGCGGUGUUUGGCACCUCGAUGUCGGCUCAUCACAUCCUGGGGCUGAAGUAGGUCCCAAGGGUAUGGCUGUUCGCCAUUUAAAGUGGUACGCGAGCUGGGUUUAGAACGUCGUGAGACAGUUCGGUCCCUAUCUGCCGUGGGCGCUGGAGAAUUGAGGGGGGCUGCUCCUAGUACGAGAGGACCGGAGUGGACGCAUCACUGGUGUUCGGGUUGUCAUGCCAAUGGCACUGCCCGGUAGCUAAAUGCGGAAGAGAUAAGUGCUGAAAGCAUCUAAGCACGAAACUUGCCCCGAGAUGAGUUCUCCCUGAGACUUUAAGUCUCCUGAAGGAACGUUGAAGACGACGACGUUGAUAGGCCGGGUGUGUAAGCGCAGCGAUGCGUUGAGCUAACCGGUACUAAUGAACCGUGAGGCUUAACCUU